CAAGUAAUUAAGUGCAUGUGGUGGAUGCCUUGGCAGUCAGAGGCGAUGAAAGACGUGAUAGCCUGCGAAAAGCUCCGGGGAGGCGGCAAAUAUCCUUUGAUCCGGAGAUGUCUGAAUGGGGGAACCCACCUACUUUAAGGUAGGUAUUGCAACAUGAAUACAUAGUGUUGCAAGGCGAACGAGGGGAAGUGAAACAUCUCAGUACCCUUAGGAAAAGAAAUCAAUUGAGAUUCCCUCAGUAGCGGCGAGCGAACGGGGAUCAGCCCAUUAAGUUAUGUGUGUUUUAGUGGAACGCUCUGGGAAGUGCGAACGUAGAGGGUGAUAUUCCCGUACACGAAAGGGCACACAUAAUGAUGACGAGUAGGGCGAGGCACGUGAAACCUUGUCUGAAUAUGGGGGGACCAUCCUCCAAGGCUAAAUACUCCUGACUGACCGAUAGUGAACCAGUACCGUGAGGGAAAGGCGAAAAGAACCCCUGUGAGGGGAGUGAAAUAGAUCCUGAAACCGCAUGCAUACAAGCAGUGGGAGCACCUUCGUGGUGUGACUGCGUACCUUUUGUAUAAUGGGUCAGCGACUUAUAUUCAGUAGCGAGGUUAACCGUAUAGGGGAGCCGUAGAGAAAUCGAGUCUUAAUAGGGCGUUUAGUUGCUGGGUAUAGACCCGAAACCAGGCGAUCUAUCCAUGAGCAGGUUGAAGGUUGGGUAACACUAACUGGAGGACCGAACCCACUGUCGUUGAAAAGCCAGGGGAUGACUUGUGGAUAGGGGUGAAAGGCUAAUCAAGCCUGGUGAUAGCUGGUUCUCCCCGAAAGCUAUUUAGGUAGCGCCUCGGACGAAUACCAUAGGGGGUAGAGCACUGUUUCGGCUAGGGGGUCAUCCCGACUUACCAAACCGAUGCAAACUCCGAAUACCUAUGAGUACUAUCCGGGAGACAGACUGCGGGUGCUAACGUCCGUAGUCAAGAGGAAAACAAUCCAGACCGCCAGCUAAGGCCCCAAAAUCAUAGUUAAGUGGGAAACGAUGUGGGAAGGCAUAGACAGCUAGGAGGUUGGCUUAGAAGCAGCCACCCUUUAAAGAAAGCGUAAUAGCUCACUAGUCGAGUCGGCCUGCGCGGAAGAUGUAACGGGGCUAAAACUAUGUGCCGAAGCUGCGGAUGUAUACUUUGUAUACGUGGUAGGGGAGCGUUCUGUAAGCCGAUGAAGGUGUGUUGAGAAGCAUGCUGGAGGUAUCAGAAGUGCGAAUGCUGACGUGAGUAACGACAAAACGGGUGAAAAACCCGUUCGCCGAAAGACCAAGGGUUCCAGUCCAACGUUAAUCGGGGCUGGGUGAGUCGACCCCUAAGGCGAGGCCGAAAGGCGUAGUCGAUGGGAAAAUGGUUAAUAUUCCAUUACUUCUGUGUAAUGCGAUGAGAGGACGGAGAAGGCUAAAUCAGCCUGGCGUUGGUUGUCCAGGUGAAAGGAUGUAGGCAUGUAUCUUAGGCAAAUCCGGGGUACUCUAUGCUGAGAUCUGAUAGCAAGCUGUACUUGUACAGCGAAGUGGUUGAUGCCAUGCUUCCAGGAAAAGUCUCUAAGCUUCAGUUACACAGGAAUCGUACCCGAAACCGACACAGGUGGUCAGGUCGAGUAGACCAAGGCGCUUGAGAGAACUCUGCUGAAGGAACUAGGCAAAAUGGUACCGUAACUUCGGGAGAAGGUACGCUGUUGUUGGUGAUGGAACUCGCUUCCUGAGCUGACGACAGCCGCAGAAACCAGGCCGCUGCAACUGUUUAUUAAAAACAUAGCACUCUGCAAACACGAAAGUGGACGUAUAGGGUGUGAUGCCUGCCCGGUGCUGGAAGGUUAAUUGAUGGGGUUAGCGUAAGCGAAGCUCUUGAUCGAAGCCCCAGUAAACGGCGGCCGUAACUAUAACGGUCCUAAGGUAGCGAAAUUCCUUGUCGGGUAAGUUCCGACCUGCACGAAUGGCAUAAUGAUGGCGGCGCUGUCUCCAGCAGAGGCUCAGUGAAAUCGAAAUCGCUGUGAAGAUGCAGUGUACCCGCGGCUAGACGGAAAGACCCCGUGAACCUUUACUGCAGCUUGACACUGAACUUUGACCUUACUUGUGUAGGAUAGGUGGGAGGCUUUGAAGCUGGAACGCUAGUUCCAGUGGAGCCGUCCUUGAAAUACCACCCUGGUAAUGUUGAGGUUCUAACUCUGUCCCGUGAUCCGGGACGAGGACCGUGUCUGGUGGGUAGUUUGACUGGGGCGGUCUCCUCCUAAAGAGUAACGGAGGAGUACGAAGGUGCGCUCAGCGUGGUCGGAAAUCACGCGUAGAGUAUAAAGGCAAAAGCGCGCUUAACUGCGAGACCCACAAGUCGAGCAGGUACGAAAGUAGGUCUUAGUGAUCCGGUGGUUCUGUAUGGAAGGGCCAUCGCUCAACGGAUAAAAGGUACUCUGGGGAUAACAGGCUGAUACCGCCCAAGAGUUCAUAUCGACGGCGGUGUUUGGCACCUCGAUGUCGGCUCAUCUCAUCCUGGGGCUGAAGCAGGUCCCAAGGGUAUGGCUGUUCGCCAUUUAAAGAGGUACGCGAGCUGGGUUUAGAACGUCGUGAGACAGUUCGGUCCCUAUCUACCGUGGGCGCUGGAAAUUUGAGAGGAUCUGCUCCUAGUACGAGAGGACCAGAGUGGACGAACCUCUGGUGUACCGGUUGUGACGCCAGUCGCAUCGCCGGGUAGCUAUGUUCGGAAGGGAUAACCGCUGAAAGCAUCUAAGCGGGAAGCCUACCUCAAGAUAAGAUUUCCCUAGGACUUUAUGUCCUCUAAAGAGCCGUUCGAGACUAGGACGUUGAUAGGUUGGAUGUGGAAGCAUAGUGAUAUGUGAAGCU
rnacentral:rRNA from 1 species